CUGCGUGGCUUACCUGCAGUCGAGGGGCAGCGAGAUGUAGCAUACGUCGUCGGCGACCGGCGAAUGGGUGAGUACACGUAUGCACUUACCUCUUAGUGGUGAAUAACCCGAUGAAAGUCGGACUAAUACACCAUAUACUCCUUAGAUCCCAUGAGAAGAGGAGGAAAGAUUAAUCGCUAAGAGAUGGGCCUGCGUUCCAUUAGCUAGUUGGUAAGGUAACGGCUUACCAAGGCAACGAUGGAUAGGGGGACUGAGAGGUUGACCCCCCACAUUGACACUGAGAUACGGGUCAAACUCCUACGGGAGGCAGCAGUGAGGAAUAUUGGUCAAUGGGCGAGAGCCUGAACCAGCCAAGUCGCGUGAAGGAAACUGCCCGCAGGGUUGUAAACUUCUUUGAUGGAUAAGUCCCCUACGUGGUAGGGGUUUGCAGUUACCAUACAAAUACUCGCUAAUGCCGGC
rnacentral:rRNA from 1 species